rnacentral:lncRNA from 1 species
CUUCUGCUUUUUGGCUGGAUUCUCUGAAGUGGGCAGAAUUUUUAGGCCCUCGUCAAAAAAUGGMUACUGGCCAGCUUGGGAUGUGUGUGGCACUGGCUGCAAAAUGGGAACUCUGAGACAAACAUCAACAGCUUCGGUGGGUGCUUCUGGAGGAGAACUGAACUGUGUGUGCCCAGCACUGUGUGGAAAGAGGAAUCAACCUGCCUGCAUCCACAAAAGCAAAAUGCUGCGUGCGUUGGGGAUGUUAUUGAGAGCAGAUGAAAGGCUUCCGGACUAGGAAAUACUGGGCGUGUGAAUUUUUGUCUCAGACUGGUGUGCCAUGUUCAUUCUUCUGAUAAGACUUUGUGGCAAAUGGAGGAGAACCAAAUCCCCCAACUACUUAGAAAUUAAAGCUAUACACUAGUGCAACAUCUACAGCAUUCUUAUAUAUAUUUAUAUGUAUAUA